GGGUGAGUAACGCGUAGGUAACCUGCCUUGUAGCGGGGGAUAACUAUUGGAAACGAUAGCUAAUACCGCAUAACAAUGGAUGACACAUGUCAUUUAUUUGAAAGGGGCAAUUGUUCCACUACAAGAUGGACCUGCGUUGUAUUAGCUAGUAGGUGAGGUAAUGGCUCACCUAGGCGACGAUACAUAGCCGACCUGAGAGGGUGAUCGGCCACACUGGGACUGAGACACGGCCCAGACUCCUACGGGAGGCAGCAGUAGGGAAUCUUCGGCAAUGGGGGCAACCCUGACCGAGCAACGCCGCGUGAGUGAAGAAGGUUUUCGGAUCGUAAAGCUCUGUUGUAAGUCAAGAACGGGUGUGAGAGUGGAAAGUUCACACUGUGACGGUAGCUUACCAGAAAGGGACGGCUAACUACGUGCCAGCAGCCGCGGUAAUACGUAGGUCCCGAGCGUUGUCCGGAUUUAUUGGGCGUAAAGCGAGCGCAGGCGGUUUGAUAAGUCUGAAGUUAAAGGCUGUGGCUCAACCAUAGUUCGCUUUGGAAACUGUCAAACUUGAGUGCAGAAGGGGAGAGUGGAAUUCCAUGUGUAGCGGUGAAAUGCGUAGAUAUAUGGAGGAACACCGGUGGCGAAAGCGGCUCUCUGGUCUGUAACUGACGCUGAGGCUCGAAAGCGUGGGGAGCGAACAGGAUUAGAUACCCUGGUAGUCCACGCCGUAAACGAUGAGUGCUAGGUGUUGGAUCCUUUCCGGGAUUCAGUGCCGCAGCUAACGCAUUAAGCACUCCGCCUGGGGAGUACGACCGCAAGGUUGAAACUCAAAGGAAUUGACGGGGGCCCGCACAAGCGGUGGAGCAUGUGGUUUAAUUCGAAGCAACGCGAAGAACCUUACCAGGUCUUGACAUCCCGAUGCUAUUUCUAGAGAUAGAAAGUUACUUCGGUACAUCGGUGACAGGUGGUGCAUGGUUGUCGUCAGCUCGUGUCGUGAGAUGUUGGGUUAAGUCCCGCAACGAGCGCAACCCCUAUUGUUAGUUGCCAUCAUUCAGUUGGGCACUCUAGCGAGACUGCCGGUAAUAAACCGGAGGAAGGUGGGGAUGACGUCAAAUCAUCAUGCCCCUUAUGACCUGGGCUACACACGUGCUACAAUGGUUGGUACAACGAGUUGCGAGUCGGUGACGGCGAGCUAAUCUCUUAAAGCCAAUCUCAGUUCGGAUUGUAGGCUGCAACUCGCCUACAUGAAGUCGGAAUCGCUAGUAAUCGCGGAUCAGCACGCCGCGGUGAAUACGUUCCCGGGCCUUGUACACACCGCCCGUCACACCACGAGAGUUUGUAACACCCGAAGUCGGUGAGGUAACCUUUUGAGCCAGCCGCCUAAGGUGACC
rnacentral:rRNA from 1 species